GAGGAAUAUUGGACAAUGGGGGCAACCCUGAUCCAGCCAUGCCGCGUGCGGGACUAAGGCCCUAUGGGUCGUAAACCGCUUUUGUUGGGGAGCAAUAAGGUCUACGCGUAGACUGAUGAGAGUACCCAGCGAAUAAGCAUCGGCUAACUCC
rnacentral:rRNA from 1 species